rnacentral:tRNA from 1 species
GAGGGCAGAGCUCAGUGGUAGAAUGUGUGCUUAGCAUGCACGAGGUCCUGGAUUCAAUCCCCAGUACCUCCA